rnacentral:lncRNA from 1 species
CAUUUGGGUUUACAUGGAACAUUUGGGUUUACAGCUUUCCAAACUCUUCCAAGAGAAUGAUGGGGCUGCUCUGGGAAGGCUCUGAGCAGGAAUCACAGGCUCAGGCCUUGCCUACAGCAGGAGGUGGAGGGAGAUCUGAUAGAUCAUCUGAGAGAUUCAGCUCACAGCAGCUGCAUUUUAAUCCUCAGGUGAUGCAUCUCCUCGCCAGGCACAGCCAGAGAGCUUCCUGAAGGAAGCAAUUACAGAAAUUGAGCUCACCCAAACAAUUAAAAAAGCUGAGAUAUAUGCCAAAGCUUCAGGUUUUCCCUCUACUAUGCCUAGAACCUGCAUCAGACC